GGUCAAGUUAGCAGAGUGGUCCCGCACAAGGUGUAUAUCCUUGAGGUCGCUUGUUCGAUUCAAUUUUUUUGAUCA